GCUAGCCGUGUGAUUGCUGUUUUAAACAGAGGAAAGUCCGGACUCCAUAGGUAAUAGUGCCAGGUAACUCCUGGGAAGCGUGAGCUUACGGAAAGUGCUACAGAAAAUAACCGCUAAUUCGUAAAAGGGUUAGUAAGGGUGAAAAGGUGAGGUAAGAGCUCACCGCAUACAAGGUAACAAGUAUGGCUGAAGUAAACCCCGCUAGGAGCAAAGCAAAUUUAUAGCGUAUCUACCUAGGACAAGCUAUAUGGUAGGCUGCUAGAGGUUUUUGGUGACAAAAACUCGAGAUUAAUGAUCACACAUGACAGAAUCCGGCUUAUAGGCUGGCUCU
rnacentral:RNase_P_RNA from 1 species